rnacentral:misc_RNA from 1 species
AUAGACUAUUGUUGGUUUAUUGUUGCUCUGCGUUAUUGGAAGUCGAGUAACUGCGCUUAGAAAAGAAAUUUUGCUUAUUUCAUUCAUAUUGCGAUAACUUCAAUUAAAUAUUGUUACGAUGUUACUUUAUGGAUACCGACGAUUAAUCAUUAUCGGAGCCAUAUUAUUUCUAUCUAUAUGGCGUUUGUCAACUUUUAUACACAGUCUGAUUGGGAUUGUUGUAUAUAUUUCGAGAAUAAUAUAUAUUCUGCGAACGAGUCGCCAAUUAGACUUAGCUCGAUCUCACGAAAGGUCGAGACAGAAGUUUUCUCACUAUCAAAAUGUGGAUCGAAAUCACUCAAAUUCAAGUGAUUAUUAUAAUCAAAAAGAAAUAUACGAUAAAGUAAAU